GACGAACGCUGGCGGCGUGCUUAGCACAUGCAAGUCGAACGGAAAGGCCCUGCUUUGGUGGGGUGCUCGAGUGGCGAACGGGUGAGUAACCCGUGAGUAACCUGCCCUUGACUUUGGGAUAACUUCAGGAAACUGGAGCUAAUACCGGAUAGGAGCUCCUGCUGCAUGGUGGGGGUUGGAAAGUUUCGGCGGUUGGUGUUGGACUAGCGGCUGAUCAGCUUGUUGGAGGGGUAGUGGCAGAGCAAGGCCAUGGCGGGUAGCCGGCCUGGGAGGGUGACCGGCCACAUUGGGAUUGGGAUACGGCCCAGACUCCAACGGGAGGCAGCGGUGGAGAAUAUUGCAUAAUGGGCGGAGGCCUGACGCAGCACCGCCGCGUGCGGGAUGUCGGCCUUCGGGUUGUAAACCGCUUUCGCCUGUGACGAAGCGUUAGUGACGGUAAUGGGUAAAUAAGCACCGGCUAACUACGUG
rnacentral:rRNA from 1 species